GACGAACGCUGGCGGCGUGCCUAAUACAUGCAAGUAGAACGCUGAAGAGAGGAGCUUGCUCUUCUUGGAUGAGUUGCGAACGGGUGAGUAACGCGUAGGUAACCUGCCUUGUAGCGGGGGAUAACUAUUGGAAACGAUAGCUAAUACCGCAUAACAAUGGAUGACACAUGUCAUUUAUUUGAAAGGGGCAAUUGCUCCACUACAAGAUGGACCUGCGUUGUAUUAGCUAGUAGGUGAGGUAACGGCUCACCUAGGCGACGAUACAUAGCCGACCUGAGAGGGUGAUCGGCCACACUGGGACUGAGACACGGCCCAGACUCCUACGGGAGGCAGCAGUAGGGAAUCUUCGGCAAUGGGGGCAACCCUGACCGAGCAACGCCGCGUGAGUGAAGAAGGUUUUCGGAUCGUAAAGCUCUGUUGUAAGUCAAGAACGAGUGUGAGAGUGGAAAGUUCACACUGUGACGGUAGCUUACCAGAAAGGGACGGCUAACUACGUGCCAGCAGCCGCGGUAAUACGUAGGUCCCGAGCGUUGUCCGGAUUUAUUGGGCGUAAAGCGAGCGCAGGCGGUUUGAUAAGUCUGAAGUUAAAGGCUGUGGCUCAACCAUAGUUCGCUUUGGAAACUGUCAAACUUGAGUGCAGAAGGGGAGAGUGGAAUUCCAUGUGUAGCGGUGAAAUGCGUAGAUAUAUGGAGGAACACCGGUGGCGAAAGCGGCUCUCUGGUCUGUAACUGACGCUGAGGCUCGAAAGCGUGGGGAGCGAACAGGAUUAGAUACCCUGGUAGUCCACGCCGUAAACGAUGAGUGCUAGGUGUUGGAUCCUUUCCGGGAUUCAGUGCCGCAGCUAACGCAUUAAGCACUCCGCCUGGGGAGUACGACCGCAAGGUUGAAACUCAAAGGAAUUGACGGGGGCCCGCACAAGCGGUGGAGCAUGUGGUUUAAUUCGAAGCAACGCGAAGAACCUUACCAGGUCUUGACAUCCCGAUGCUAUUUCUAGAGAUAGAAAGUUACUUCGGUACAUCGGCGACAGGUGGUGCAUGGUUGUCGUCAGCUCGUGUCGUGAGAUGUUGGGUUAAGUCCCGCAACGAGCGCAACCCCUAUUGUUAGUUGCCAUCAUUCAGUUGGGCACUCUAGCGAGACUGCCGGUAAUAAACCGGAGGAAGGUGGGGAUGACGUCAAAUCAUCAUGCCCCUUAUGACCUGGGCUACACACGUGCUACAAUGGUUGGUACAACGAGUUGCGAGUCGGUGACGGCAAGCUAAUCUCUUAAAGCCAAUCUCAGUUCGGAUUGUAGGCUGCAACUCGCCUACAUGAAGUCGGAAUCGCUAGUAAUCGCGGAUCAGCACGCCGCGGUGAAUACGUUCCCGGGCCU
rnacentral:rRNA from 1 species